UUGGGUAAGAAGGAUCAUCUUUAAAGGCACCAGGCAAGUACAUGAUGUACAGUUACAAGUCAUGUAUUUUUUUUGACUGCAAUAUUAAAUGCUUUCACGUCACAUGUAAAAGUACACAGGAAUGUGCUGAUCACUUUUUAUUUGUAGUUUACAUGAGUGUCAUUGCACUUUUCAGGAGUUAAGGCAGAUGUGGAGGCACAACGGGUGACACCAGACACACACCAAGCACAUUAUGUUCGGACAUUCAAUCAUGACAUGAUCCAUGUGGAUGCUGUCCAUUGAGGAAAGAGUUUGUUCAGAGGUUUCUGGAUAUAAUUAAUUCCAAAGAUGGGAAAAAGUGCACAUCCAGACAAGGAGCAAGCAAAUAGACAAGGAACUUGGUGCAGAGAAAAGCUGUGGCCAUUAACCCCCAUGUGAACAGCUUCAUGCAGUCCCUGAUUGAGUUCGAAUGGAUGACUUCAAAGUAAAGGCCACUGUGGUCUGUCUGCCACAGUUUAAUGCAUUUAUUUUUAGUGUUAAAUGAAAUUCAAGUAGAAUAUUUAAAACUAUGGGCCAGUGUUCUUUUUACCACAGUGAAAUGUUACCUUUUAGUCGAUGAUGGACUUUAAACUGAAAACUUCAAACUAUGGAACAGUGUUCUAUUUGCCAGAGUUAAAUAUGUUACAGCAAGGGUCUCCAAACUUGUUUAUACUUGUUGAUUUUAUUUUAUGUUACUUGAUUAUAUGUUUAUUAUUGUUUAAAAUCUUGUUUUAAAUAUGUUUUGUUUCGAUUAAAUUUUUUUUAAAUAAAAUUUUGAUACAAACA